rnacentral:lncRNA from 1 species
UACUGGGAUGUAUGUAAGCUAUGUAUGAAGAAGGUUCAGAUGUCAUAGAAUACAGUGAAAUUCUCAAAGGACAGAAAACAUUUUAAUGAAGAGUCCUCUCUUCUUCACGUAUGUCCUUUUGGGAAGAGUUAGGCUCCUUUCAUUUUGCUUCAUGAUUAAUUCAGACAGUGAGUAGGGUACAGAAUUUUCACCAUGAUCCUACCGUUUCUUUAUGCCCUUCAGUAUUGGGUGAGUUUGUUUAGAAGUGGGCCUUAAAUUACCCAAGCUAAAAUGCUAAGUAUGAGUAUAAACUAUUUGAGUGCUAGGAUAUUAUUUCUAGAAUUCUUUGUUUUCUCCUUAUCUACUGAGCACAGCACUGUGUUAGAAUACAUGUGUUUGCUGUAGCAUGUCCUCCCUAUCAGCCAUUCUCAUUCUGUUCUUCCAGAUCUGCUCACCAUGGAGCAUUAAAACAAACCCUGGAAGAUGAAGAGAGAAGAGCCAGUAGCCAAGUCAUUGAGGCAUGAGUGGUAUGGGGUUCAAGUGACAGUGGAAACUGGACAUCAAAUUAUUUUUGCUACAUUCUCUGGUGUAACAUAAGAACUCAGCAGGUGAAGACACAUUUAUGAAUAUAGUUUUAGAGCACAUACAUCUCAGAUUAAAUGUUGAUAAGGAAAUAAAAUUUGCAUAGUAAUUGUUAAUGUUUUGAACCAUGCCUAAAUUCCUGAGAUUCACAAUUUGUAUUGUCAAUUUUCUAAAAUAGUGGUUUGGAGUUGAAAUAAAUACCCAAUUUUUCUCAGUAUUUCAAAAUGAUCAUCAAGCACACUCUUGGGGAUUUCUAAACUGUACAUGAACAUGUUCACAUUGUUUGUUCAUAUGUUAUAUCUUUUAAAUUUCAUGGUUUCUUGAUUUGUAUGGACUCAUGCUUGAAAUUACGGUGAAAAUGUUUUUUUUUUAAUUUAGAUUUCUUCAUUUAUUUACUGACCAACCACUGUCCCCCUCCUUAUCCCCACUCACAGAGACCUUCCCUGCUUCUCUACUGAGAAUGUGGGUCCUCCUGAGUAUCCCC